rnacentral:rRNA from 1 species
UGCCGUAAACGAUGAGUGCUAAGUGUUGGGAGGUUUCCGCCUCUCAGUGCUGCAGCUAACGCAUUAAGCACUCCGCCUGGGGAGUACGACCGCAAGGUUGAAACUCAAAGGAAUUGACGGGGGCCCGCACAAGCGGUGGAGCAUGUGGUUUAAUUCGAAGCAACGCGAAGAACCUUACCAGGUCUUGACAUCCAGUGCAAACCUAAGAGAUUAGGUGUCCCCUUCGGGGACGCUGAGACAGGUGGUGCAUGGCUGUCGUCAGCUCGUGUCGUGAGAUGUUGGGUUAAGUCCCGCAACGAGCGCAACCCUUGUCAUUAGUUGCCAUUAUUAAGUUGGGCACUCUAAUGAGACUGCCGGUGACAAACCGGAGGAAGGUGGGGAUGACGUCAAGUCAUCAUGCCCCUUAUGACCUGGGCUACACACGUGCUACAAUGGACGGUACAACGAGAAGCGAACCUGCGAAGGCAAGCGGAUCUCUUAAAGCCGUUCUCAGUUCGGACUGUAGGCUGCAACUCGCCUACACGAAGCUGGAAUCGCUAGUAAUCGCGGAUCAGCACGCCGCGGUGAAUACGUUCCCGGGCCUUGUACACACCGCCCGUCACACCAUGAGAGUCUGUAACACCCAAAGCCGGUGGGAUAACCUUUAUAGGAGUCAGCCGUCUAAGGUAGGACAGAUGAUUAGGGUGAAGUCGUAACAAGGUAGCCGUAGGAGAACCUGCGGUUGGAUCACCUC